CCAAUUGCCCACACAUUGACGAACAGUUGAGUUCUUGCGGGAAUCUCGUAGCCAUUGAUGAUGCAUUCCUCUGUUGAUUCUCGCACAAUCAUUGGGCCUGUUGGGUGGAGCCUUAGGGUUUCCUUCACUAAAGCUUGCAGAUGAAUGCGACAAAAGACUGGGUCAAUGGCCGGCCAUGUUGAAUUACAGAACUUCAUGAAUAGAACCUUUAAGGAUCUGCUCAAUGUACGUGAAAUCAAUAGUUGCAUUUAUUCUAGAUAUUUGUUCUUUGUCCUAACUUGUCUGUACACUCAUACAACCAAGUCUACAUUUUUGUACACUUAUUUUGAUGCCAUUGUUGUAAAAGUAACUGCUAGUUCUCAUAUCAUUUGAUACUUGCCGCGUAUGGCCGGCCACGUCAAUGCAUUAGCUUGGUCAUAAUCAAAAGGUCCAUAGAUGGUUUGUACAAAACUAAAAAAGAUGUUGGUUUCAGGCAAAACAACAAAGGAAAUUCCUACAAUUAUUUUCUCGAUUUUUCCUAGUAGAUAGUUUAUUUUUUGCAGCUAGGACUUCUUCCUAGUUUGUAUUAUUAUUUUUUUCUUUUCUUUAUCAGGUUUAUGUUCAUAAAAUAUUUUGAGGCAUUAUUUCGGUGGUGAUAAUGAUUUAACUCCAGAAUAGAGAUGAGACAACAA